AGAAAUACGGCCAAUUCCGUUGUGACAGUUGGGGACUAGAGUGCAGUAGUAUCUCUUUGCCUUUUCACCAGUGGCAAAUACUACCACCGGCACCCCCAGUGCACUCCGGCAUGACUGCCAGCUUUGCCCCGCCGUCGUCUACACCUGAUCUUUUUCCCCUUGGGACUUACACCUAAGUUAUACCAAGCAGAGGCUGAGGAUUGAACAACUGACAAAAGAUCGCUUCUGAAUUUCAACACUUUCAUGAUGCAAAGCCUUAAACCAGAUCUUGGGGUGGACAGUCUCGCACCUGCUGAGAAGCACCCUCCGUCGUUCCUCUGCCCUCCCACCCUUCCAGGCUCCCAGAGUGGACCAUUCAUGAGAGGGGCACAGAGUCCCUUCUGCCACGACAGCUCCAGUGUGCUCUAAUCUCCAUCAGCGCAUGGGUCAUCUUCCUUCCUUCCUCUUCAAGUCUUUAUGUUUCCUAUAAAAUCGUCUUUUCCAAAGCUA